AACGAACGCUGGCGGCAUGCCUAACACAAGCAGGUCGAACGAGACCUUCGGGUCUAGUGGCGCACGGGUGCGUAACGCGUGGGAACCUGCCCUUAGGUUCGGAAUAACUCCCCGAAAGGGGUGCUAAUACCGGAUAAUGUCUUCGGACCAAAGAUUUAUCGCCUUUGGAUGGGCCCGCGUUGGAUUAGCUAGUUGGUAGGGUAAAAGCCUACCAGGGCGACGAUCCAUAGCUGGUCUGAGAGGAUGAUCAGCCACACUGGGACUGAGACACGGCCCAGACUCCUACGGGAGGCAGCAGUGGGGAAUAUUGGACAAUGGGCGAAAGCCUGAUCCAGCAAUGCCGCGUGAGUGAUGAAGGCCUUAGGGUUGUAAAGCUCUUUUACCCGGGAUGAUAAUGACAGUACCGGGAGAAUAAGCUCCGGCUAACUCCGUG
rnacentral:rRNA from 1 species